rnacentral:rRNA from 1 species
AGAGUUUGAUCCUGGCUCAGGAUGAACGCUAGCUACAGGCUUAACACAUGCAAGUCGAGGGGAAACGACAUCGAAAGCUUGCUUUUGAUGGGCGUCGACCGGCGCACGGGUGAGUAACGCGUAUCCAACCUGCCCACCACUUGGGGAUAACCUUGCGAAAGCAAGACUAAUACCCAAUGACGUCUCUAGAAGACAUCUGAAAGAGAUUAAAGAUUUAUCGGUGAUGGAUGGGGAUGCGUCUGAUUAGCUUGUUGGCGGGGUAACGGGCCACCAAGGCGACGAUCAGUAGGGGUUCUGAGAGGAAGGUCCCCCGACCAUUGGAACUGAGACACGGUCCAAACUCCUACGGGAGGCA